rnacentral:rRNA from 1 species
UACAGGGGGCGCAAGCGUUGCUCGGAAUCACUGGGCGUAAAGCGAACGCAGGCGGACCGUUAAGUCGAAUGUGAAAGCCCGGGGCUCAACCCCGGAAGUGCAUUCGAAACUGGCGGUCUUGAGUACGGGAGAGGUGGGUGGAAUUCCUGGUGUAGAGGUGAAAUUCGUAGAUAUCAGGAGGAACACCGGUGGCGAAAGCGGCCCACUGGCCCGAUACUGACGCUCAUGUUCGAAAGCGUGGGGAGCAAACAGG